UAGGGAGGAGGGUCCUGGGGAAGUCAAAGCUUCCACACCUGUUCUCAAAGCCCCUCUGAGGUAUCCCCUCCCAGAUUCCAGAUCAGGUUUGGGGCUCCCAGGAGCCCUCGCUUUCUCCCCAAUAACCUCCUCCCCUGGCUCCGGGUCCUGCCCUUUGGGCUACAUGGCACAGCCUGUUUCCCUGGCCCUGUGAAGGUCCCUCCAGAGGCUGCUCUGCUCCAAGGCACACACAGACCCCAGGCCUGGCCUCCCUGAGUUGUUCCUCCCUACCAUGGCCUCUAUCCCCUGUGCGGUCUCAUCCGGAGUAAGCCUGAAGCUCGUCUUGUGAAGCCACCAUCACAUUGGCUCUUUCAGCAAUAAGCCUAAGAAAUGUAGUCUCCUCAGGCCCACGAGGUCCUCUAGAACCCCCAGAUCUUUGUGCCAACUCGUCUUUCUCCAGCUGAAGUGCUACAGCCUCUUGGUCUAUCCAUGUAGAGCUGUGAUGGCAUCAAGAAGGAAGUGAGACGCCCCUGGGACACUCCCAGGAGGGAGCAGAGGCUCUGGGGCUCCUGGCAGGGUUGUAAACUCCAGCACUGGUCGACAAUCUCUUCACUGGAGGCAUCUGGCACCUAGAGGACCCUGUGGAAGCCAU
rnacentral:lncRNA from 1 species